rnacentral:rRNA from 1 species
GACGAACGCUGGCGGCGUGCUUAACACAUGCAAGUCGAACGCUGAAGCUUGGUGCUUGCACUGGGUGGAUGAGUGGCGAACGGGUGAGUAGUACGUGAGUAACCUGCCCUUGACUCUGGGAUAAGCCUGGGAAACUGGGUCUAAUACUGGAUACGACAUGUCACCGCAUGGUGGUGUGUGGAAAGGGUUUUACUGGUUUUGGAUGGGCUCACGGCCUAUCAGCUUGUUGGUGGGGUAAUGGCUCACCAAGGCGACGACGGGUAGCCGGCCUGAGAGGGUGACCGGCCACACUGGGACUGAGACACGGCCCAGACUCCUACGGGAGGCAGCAGUGGGGAAUAUUGCACAAUGGGCGGAAGCCUGAUGCAGCGACGCCGCGUGAGGGAUGACGGCCUUCGGGUUGUAAACCUCUUUCAGCACGGAAGAAGCGAAAGUGACGGUACGUGCAGAAGAAGCGCCGGCUAACUACGUG